UGGUGGAGCGAUUUGUCUGGUUAAUUCCGAUAACGAACGAGACUCUAGCCUACUAACUAGUCGAUCAAUCACUAGUUGGUUGAACUUCUUAGAGGGACGAGAGGUGUCUAACCUCGCGAAAAAGAGCAAUAACA
rnacentral:rRNA from 1 species